AGAGUUUGAUCCUGGCUCAGGAUGAACGCUAGCGGCAGGCCUAACACAUGCAAGUCGAGGGAGAGGUUACUUUCGGGUAACCAAAACCGGCGCACGGGUGCGUAACGCGUAUACAAUCUGCCUUUCACAUAGGGAUAGCCCGAAGAAAUUUGGAUUAAUACCUAAUGGUAUAUAAGAGCGGCAUCGUUUUUAUAUUAAAGCUACGGUGGUGAAAGAUGAGUAUGCGUUCUAUUAGCUAGUUGGAGAGGUAACGGCUCCCCAAGGCGACGAUAGAUAGGGGUUCUGAGAGGGAUGUCCCCCACACUGGUACUGAGAUACGGACCAGACUCCUACGGGAGGCAGCAGUGAGGAAUAUUGGACAAUGGUCGGAAGACUGAUCCAGCCAUGCCGCGUGCAGGAAGACGGCCUUAUGGGUUGUAAACUGCUUUUGCAGGGGAAGAAUAAGGAGUACGUGUACUUUGAUGACGGUACUCUGCGAAUAAGCAUCGGCUAACUCCGUGCCAGCAGCCGCGGUAAUACGGAGGAUGCGAGCGUUAUCCGGAAUCAUUGGGUUUAAAGGGUCCGUAGGCGGGCUAAUAAGUCAGAGGUGAAAGCGCUCAGCUCAACUGAGCAACUGCCUUUGAAACUGUUAGUCUUGAAUGGUUGUGAAGUAGUUGGAAUGUGUAGUGUAGCGGUGAAAUGCUUAGAUAUUACACAGAACACCGAUAGCGAAGGCAUAUUACUAACAAUUAAUUGACGCUGAUGGACGAAAGCGUGGGGAGCGAACAGGAUUAGAUACCCUGGUAGUCCACGCU
rnacentral:rRNA from 1 species